AAGCCACUCUCUUGUAUGUUGCCAACAUGUCACUUACACACGCGUAUUAUUACACACACACACACACGCACGCACGCAUGUUUCCCCUAGCUAAUACAAAUAAAACUAUGUUAACUCAUACAAUUGUGCACACUCAUAAUGAUACUAUCACACCUCAUUCGCUACACAAACAUGACACUAAAAAUGCCGUCACCAUUCUCCAAGGAAAAUCGCUGCCGCUUCUACAGAUUCUACAGCCCAACACAUACAGUGAAUGUAAGCAUGAACGAGGCGUGUACCUCCGUAAAGGAGGAAAUUAAGGAAGAAGUCAAGGAGGUGGGGGAGAAGAUACAAGAGGCACAGGAUGUGUGGCAGCACUGGCAAGAGACCGUGGCGAGUGACGUGUAGGAGUGCUUCACCAAGGUUGGAGAGCAUAAUAGCAGCUUUGGUGCCAAGCACAGAAAACGCGCCAGGACUCGCCCAAGUGGUCUUCACGCCAAAAUGCUCAAAGCGUAAAGGUCCCUUAUAAUCAGCGCCAAAGGUUCCUUUAGUAAAGGCUGGUUCAGUAACCCUUAAGUUCAGGGUUGCGAACUCUAGCCUGUGAAUCGGCAUUAUCGGUGUUUUAAACAUUAUUUCUUCUGAUAUUCACUCCCACAAGUAAUUUUAAGGUGCCAGAAAUGUUUUGAGAUGUAGAACUAAAUAAAAUGCGUUGAAUCUCCCAAAUAAGUGCAGACAAAAAACUCCGCUGGGAACUGGUGGCUCCUCAGCGGUCGUGCUGUUUUGGCAGGAUGGAAUUCCUUGUGAUGGAAGAACUUGACCGUGGUCUAAGGCGAUAGAGAAGGUAUAGUUCAGUGAUGAACAAUUAUACACUUCGAUUUUAUUGCAGUUUCAACCAGUACACCGUAUGUAACUAUAACCCUUUGCAGGUUCUAUAUCACUGUUUGGAGCAUUUCUAUCCCCAUUUUACCUUGUCAACAAUUAAUGAUAAGUUUACCUUAUGUAGGGCCCGGGAAUUGGGGGGAGGGUUACAGAAUGUUAGGUUAUUUUACCAUAUGGGGAUGUCCAGGAGGGGCAAAAUCUUCCCUCGGUUAUGAGGUUACAAAAUGUUAGGUUAGUUUACCUUAUGAGGGUGGUCCAAUAGGUUACAGGGCGUCAAGGGGGGGAGUAUUAAUUGAAACUGCAAAUUUACUUAGACUUCUGCUUGAAGAAAUUGUGCAGCUGUCCCAGGAACUAGAUCACAUGUUGCUCCACCGAAUGGCAUGGCCCAUGCUCUGCUCAUUGCAACAUGUUAAUUGCCCUCGAGAUCCCUUGCAAGUGGUGGUUUUCAAAGUGUUGUUGGUGAUGCCACUAGUGUGCACCAGUCGUGUUUCAAUAGCAAUAGCUGGUGUCAAUGAAGCUCUCUACAGGAAAGUACUCACAGAGGUUAAGAUGCCCAGCGGACUACAGCAGCGCACAACUGUACUGGGAAAAUUUGUUGUGUGAUAGUGAAUGAAGUGGAAGUACACACACCUCAUUUAUUUGAACAAACUGCAAUCUCUGAAGAAAAUCAGAGCAUGGAGAAUAUGGUGGUAAUGUGCUUCUAGGUAUGUAUGGUUUGGCAGAAAGUUUAAGUACUAUAACAAUCAAAUUCCAUAAUCCAUAGAUAAAAAUAUAAUUUAUUAUACCACUUGCAAGUAUCACCUGUCUCACUGUGAAAAAGAUUGUAUAUCAUAGUAUUUACAUAUAGAAAGUAAACAACUUGGAUAACAGGUAAUCAGUUAGGAUUGUUAUGAUGAAAAAAAAGUUUUUUGUUCUAACAUCUUAUGGAGUGGGAAAAAACAAAAACUAAGUCAAACACAGUAUUACUUUUAAAGUGGCAGCAUUUACUGGUGAAGAUGAUAAAAUAUGAUCAAAUGACAACUUUUAUUGGACAAUUAAAAUAUAUUCUUUAUUUUGCCCUAGAUAAGUAAGAUAUCUGCAUGGAAUGCAUGCCAGAAGUACAGAAUACAAUAGAAAUGGGAGAGAGGAAAAAAACAAGUAUUCUUGGAUACUUGUAACAGAGAUUUAUGCUUCAUCCAAAACUCUAGGUAUCACAGUCUGUGAGAUUAUAUAGAAUCACUUCAAAUCAUUUGUAGUUCACAUCACUUCUGUUUUAUCCAGCAUAGAAAAAUAUACAUAAGAAAACACUAUCCUACAUAAUCUUCAAA